GCGGCUUUGUGACGUUCUCCGGGAAACACUUUGGUUAGCGGUCGCCUCCACUCGUCGACAUGAGAGCCAAGUGGCGAAAGAAGCGCAUGCGCAGGCUGAAGCGUAAAAGGAGGAAGAUGAGGCAGAGGUCCAAGUAAACUGUCUUCUCUGCCAUGGCUGUCACUUCCAAUGUUUGAACCAAGCGGACCAGAUGAGCACAGCCAGAGACCCAGGAACCCCCCCUCCCUCCCAACAUCUAGUCUUGAAGCCAGCAGUGUCCAAAUCGACCUGAUGCAGCACAGCAGCAGCUGAUCGAUGCCACAGAGCUGAUCCAGGACCUGCUGGAUGUCAGGCUUUUCCACUGGGACUUUCUGAACUCCUUGUUCCUAAUUCCUCAACUUUUUUCAUUUGUUUUUGUUAUUGAUUAAAGGUUUUGGUUUAAAAAACAGAA